CCCAAGCUGGUGUAAUGGUAACACGGCGACUGCCACUCAUGUAUGUCGGCUAUGACCCGCAUGCGGGGCCGCAACUCCGGGUUUAAAUCCCGGGCUUAGGA